rnacentral:rRNA from 1 species
AUUGAACGCUGGCGGCAGGCCUAACACAUGCAAGUCGAGCGGAUGAGUGGAGCUUGCUCCAUGAUUCAGCGGCGGACGGGUGAGUAAUGCCUAGGAAUCUGCCUGGUAGUGGGGGACAACGUUUCGAAAGGAACGCUAAUACCGCAUACGUCCUACGGGAGAAAGCAGGGGACCUUCGGGCCUUGCGCUAUCAGAUGAGCCUAGGUCGGAUUAGCUAGUUGGUGAGGUAAAGGCUCACCAAGGCGACGAUCCGUAACUGGUCUGAGAGGAUGAUCAGUCACACUGGAACUGAGACACGGUCCAGACUCCUACGGGAGGCAGCAGUGGGGAAUAUUGGACAAUGGGCGAAAGCCUGAUCCAGCCAUGCCGCGUGUGUGAAGAAGGUCUUCGGAUUGUAAAGCACUUUAAGUUGGGAAGAAGGGCAGUAAGUUAAUACCUUGCUGUUUUGACGUUACCGACAGAAUAAGCACCGGCUAACUUCGUGCCAGCCGCCGCGGUAACAC